rnacentral:rRNA from 1 species
UACGAAGGGGGCUAGCGUUACUCGGAUUGACUGGGCUUAAAGGGCGCGUAGGCGGUUUGUACAGUCAGACGUGAAAUUCCUGGGCUCAACCUGGGGGCUGCGUUUGAUACGUGCAGACUUGAGUUCGGAAGAGGGUCGUGGAAUUCCCAGUGUAGAGGUGAAAUUCGUAGAUAUUGGGAAGAACACCGGUGGCGAAGGCGGCGACCUGGUCCGAUACUGACGCUGAGGCGCGAAAGCGUGGGGAGCAAACAGG